rnacentral:sRNA from 1 species
ACUAUGGUGUUCACAUGAUGAGAAAUCCUUAAGGACUGGAGCAAUCUGAAGGCUUCAGGGAGGAAGUGAGACCAAAGCUGGUCCUAUAAGGAAGGAUUUUGGAAGGAAGUCAUGCUACUCAGGAAUGAUCUCAUACCCUAAGCUCCAUCAAUGCUAAGGUUCUUGUAGGCACUAAUUCCAAGGAUUGGAUUAGUUUGAAUUACUGAGAUAACAUUUUCAAAGCCUUACCUACCCUCUGCCUGCAGCUUUUCAGAGUUCAUGAAAAGUAACUGCUUAGGUUCAAAUCCUUGGGAAGAAGGGCUGGUUGGGUGAGACUGCAGUGGAAAGAGCAACCAUUCUGACAAAACAUGAACCCCCAUCCUCAGGGCAGGCUGCAGUGGACCAUAUCAAUGCUGUCAUUCCGGAAGGUGACCCCGAGAAUACGCUGCUUGCACUGAAGAAACAAGAGGCCCAGCUGCCUGCUGUUUAUCCCUUUGCUGCUGCCAUGUAUCAGAACGAACUUUUCAACCUCCAGAAACAGAACACCAUGAACUACUUGGCCCACGAGGAGCUUUUGAUUGCUGUGGAAAUGUUGUCUGCUGUUGCUUUACUAAACC